CUGUAGCGCAAUGGAUAGCGCGUUUGACAACUUCUAAUAGAAAGAUCAUGGGUUUGAAUCCUACCUGGAAGG